GAACGAGAAAGUGGAGCAAUCCAUGAGUACAGUGGCGUACGGGUGAGUAACACGUGGGUGAUCUACCUCUUAGUGAGGAAUAACCCUGGGAAACCGGGGCUAAUACCGCAUAAGCCUGAGAAGGGAAAGCAGCAAUGCGCUGAGAGAGGAGCCCGCGGCCGAUUAGCUAGUUGGUGAGGUAAGAGCCCACCAAGGCAUAGAUCGGUAGCCGGCCUGAGAGGGCACACGGCCACACUGGCACUGAAACACGGGCCAGACUCCUACGGGAGGCAGCAGUGGGGAAUCUUGCACAAUGGGGGCAACCCUGAUGCAGCGACGCCGCGUGAGCGAUGAAGCCCUUCGGGGUGUAAAGCUCUUUCGACGGGAACGAUAAUGACGGUACCCGGAGAAGAAGCUGCGGCUAACUACGUGCCAGCAGCCGCGGUAAUACGUAGGCAGCGAGCGUUGUUCGGAAUUACUGGGCGUAAAGAGUGUGUAGGCGGUGUUCCCAGUCUGUUGUGAAAUCUCCCGGCUUAACUGGGAGGGUGCAGCGGAAACUAGAAUGCUAGAGGGUGGGAGAGGUAAGCGGAAUUCCUGGUGUAGCGGUGAAAUGCGUAGAUAUCAGGAGGAACACCUGUGGUGUAGACAGCUUACUGGACCACUUCUGACGCUGAGACACGAAAGCGUGGGUAGCAAACAGGAUUAGAUACCCUGGUAGUCCACGCCCUAAACGAUGCAUACUUGGUGUGAGCGAUUCAUUUCGUUCGUGCCGGAGCUAACGCGUUAAGUAUG
rnacentral:rRNA from 1 species